AGGCUGCAACUCGCCUGCAUGAAGACGGAAUUGCUAGUAAUCGCAGAUCAGCAUGCUGCGGUGAAUACGUUCCCGGGCCUUGUACACACCGCCCGUCACACCAUGGGAGUCGGUAACACCCAAAGUUGGUAGCCUAACCGCAAGGAGGGCGCCGCCUAAGGUGGGAUUGAUGACUGGGGUGAAGUCGUAACAAGGUAUC
rnacentral:rRNA from 1 species